GAGAAUCACAGUCUCAGCGGCUGCCGCUCCUGAGGGGCACGCGUGCUGCCCGGUCUGGAGGGUUCGCUGCAAUCGGUGCUACAGCUUUAGGAACUGUGAUUUACUGCGGAUUUAAAACUCUUUAAACAGCCGACUUCCUGCUGAUGGGUCUGAGGGAAGAGCGGCAGCGACUCGGGCAGGGCCUCGGUGCGGAGGCUGGGAGGAGCGCCUGCUUUUUAGGAAAGGAUGCUUCAGCCUCAGCCUCCCGUCCAUGCUCCUCUCCGGUGUGAGUGCAGAGAAGGUCCUGGGUUCUGUCUGCGGCUUCACUCUGGGGGUCUUGGACCUGGACCCGAGAGAGCCCAGAACCACAGGAACAGCAGAAGGGCCGGAGCGUCGCACAGCAACUGUGGGCCCGCGGUGGCUCUGGAGCCAGUCGGCGUGACUCUGCCAUUAGCUCUGUCCCCUUGCAAGGCUGAUGGUCAGCAUGUGUGAAUCGGCUCUUAAAUGCCAGCACAGGAACUGCUGCCUGACGACUCCUGUGAUUGGACCCAUGGUCGGUUCCCAUGGUGUCCAGGCAUGGCACUCACAGAGGCAUCCUGACAUGGUCCCGCCACAGCGUCCAGGCACCCUCUUCUUUGUGGACAGUCC
rnacentral:lncRNA from 1 species